rnacentral:rRNA from 1 species
GAGUUUGAUCCUGGCUCAGGACGAACGCUGGCGGCGUGCCUAACACAUGCAAGUCGAACGAAGCUUUGAGGAGCUUGCUUUUUAAAGCUUAGUGGCGGACGGGUGAGUAACGCGUGAGCAACCUGCCUCUCAGAGGGGGGAUAACGUUUUGAAAAGAACGCUAAUACCGCAUAAUAUAUCGGAACCGCAUGAUUCUGAUAUCAAAGGAGCAAUCCGCUGAGAGAUGGGCUCGCGUCCGAUUAGUUAGUUGGUGAGGUAACGGCUCACCAAGACUACGAUCGGUAGCCGGACUGAGAGGUUGAUCGGCCACAUUGGGACUGAGACACGGCCCAGACUCCUACGGAGGCAGCAGUGGGGGAUAUUGCGCAAUGGGGGAAACCCUGACGCAGCAACGCCGCGUGAAGGAAGAAGGUCUUCGGAUUGUAAACUUCUUUUGUCAGGGACGAAGAAAGUGACGGUACUUAAUGAAUAAGCUCCGGCUAACUACGUGCCAGCCGCCGCGGUAAUAC